GACCCAUGUUAUUUUAAUCGCCCUCCCGGCUAACGGUGUCGGUUGUGGGGCCGCAGUAACCGAGCUCCGGGGCAAACGCCUCAGCGCCUGCCGGGGCGGCCCCGUGAGGGGGAAGGUCAGUAGGAGGGUGGGGUGAGACGAGGCGAGCAUAGGUACGGGUGAGCUGAGGGCGACGGCAGCGCUGAGGGGAAGGGGGACAGCGCGUCCCGCUAAGGCUCCCUCAGGAGGGAUGGCUGGAAGGCAGCUCCCGCCGCGGGACCACAGCAGCCACCCGAGCACCUGCACGGGCAGGCGCACCUAAAAACCUUGAUGAACAGGCUAUUUUUAACAGGAGUCAAUCAGCAACUUCCAGAUUGGGGGAAGUAUCUGGACAUCCCACUGUUAUCUCUGAGGCCUGCAUGGACCUGUUUGCUGAGCUAAAACCAAAAUUUCCAAGAAAGAAAAAGAGAGGAGUCAUAUCUGUCAAAGACAAAACAAUUCCUUGGAAUGUACAAGUUUGUCAGAUGCAAUGACAAUGGGGGUUAUUUUCUCCCUCCUCUGAAGUAAGCAAUAAGUGUGUGUUUGUACAUUUCCUAACCACAUUUAAAAUACCCAAUUCUGUGACUUUUCCUGAUCUACUAAGGCUUCUUUGUACUCACAUGAAUGUAUUUAUUGAAUAUCACGCAAAGGGUUUUUUCUAGACUCUUAUUAAAUGUUAAGUGAAGAUUAUAUAAAUAUAUAUAUAGAGAUAUAUGUGCAGUACCAUCCUAAAAAAUAAACAGAGACACUUGAAGGAUUUUUCCUAUGGC
rnacentral:lncRNA from 1 species